rnacentral:lncRNA from 1 species
AAAUAAAUGCAUUCCAAAAAGUAAGUCCAAUGUGCCAACCAGGGAUGUUGGGCAGAAAUUGACAUAUCAUAUAAUUGCACCUCCAUACAAAAAGCUCUACUAGGCAAUAAAUGAUCAAGCUGCAGCAGGCUGUAUAGGAUUUCUUGCUGCUAAUAUCAACUUAAUCAGCCAGAUAUUGUUGAGUUCCAUUAAUUUGCAGUAGACACUUUGAAGUAUUUCUUUUAAUCCUCUAUCUAAUUUCAUUAAAUCUAUUACAGAUCUAGGAGUGCCAUUAACCAUAAGUGCUGUUUUACUUGAUUCAAAACAUUACCAAAUUGAGCCAUUUUUCUUGAUUUCUUCUUCAAACAAAUGCCUUCUAUGAAUGCUCUUAGUUUUUCAACUUGUCUGUGAGCUGUCACUUGUUUUGAAGGAAACAAAUCAGUUUGCACUUCCCACAUAUCAAAACAUGGGAGCUAGCUUUCUUAAUCAAACCUUGUAAGUGGAAAUAAUGGAAGCUGUAUCUGAUGAUAUGCAUCAUGAAAAGAUGUGGGAACCUUAGAAUGAGAUUUAUGAUCAAGAAGGUACAGACUGCACUUUGUUUAAGAUUGAGGAGAGCUAUUCAAUAUCAAUCUUCAUCUCUUAAUUCCAGCAAAAAUGCCACAGUAGUAGAUCUCUCAUACUAUUCAUGUCCUUCUGAUAAUUACACGACUCUCAAAUGAAGUCGACUGUUCAAUCUCCUUGGCACAAGUUUCAUGCGC